UAGGUGGACCGGGGCAGAACGCGCGGGAAAAGGGAGACCUUAAGGGUUAUCCGGUUUUAAUGGUCGUAAAGCGCGGGUAGGGGGUUUUGUGCGGCUACGGGUAAAGGCCAGGGCCGAACGCUGGAAGGGCAGGAGGUACGACAGAACGAGAGGAGGUUAGAGGUGCAUGGAGCGCACGGUGUAGGGGUGAAAUCCGUUGAUAUCGUGCGAAACACCAAAGGCGAAGGCAUUGCACUGGGACCUUCCUGACCCUGAGACGCGAAAGCGUGGGGAGCAAAAAGGAUUAGAUACCCGGGUAUUC
rnacentral:rRNA from 1 species